rnacentral:tRNA from 2 species
AUUUAAAUAGCUUAUAUAAUUAGAGCAUAAUAUUGAAGAUAUUAAGGAGAUUGAUAAAUCUUUAAAUA